UUUUUCUGAUUAAUCAUCGACAUAACGCGACAGAACGUACCUUAAAGGUAAGCAAUACAUCAUACAUAUCUUGUAUAAACAGGAAAGAUUAUUAUGAAUAAACACAAUGAUUAGUAAACGACGAAAAACUUACCUCAAGAAGACAAAACCUAAAUACUUUGUCAAAAUAUGGUCUUCAAUGAAGCACAAUUUAUUGUACCAACUACUUAUGUCUAAAUAGGACUCUUUCUAUUUUAGGUAUAACAUCAUAAAUUCAAUUUGAAAAUGAUGGUUAUUGAGAGAAUGAUAAACAAGAAGUUCUUGUUUCUUUGCAGUGAUUCAAUUGCAUUUGCCCUUUCCUCGCAUGCCUUCACCAACUCCGCCAUAAUUUAAAUGGUUCAAUUAAUUAAAUCUUUACGAGUUUAAAAAGAAGAACAAAAAACUCGCAUUCUAUUUUGAAAUAAACGAAGACAAAAUAAAGAGAAAUAAUCCACAACUUCCACAGAUAAAUCUAAGGACAAAUUUAUCGAAUUCGACUAAAAAGAAGGGUUGACCUUUGGUGCUUCGAAAAAGGAGCUGACCCUUCCUUUUUUGUAGCAUUUUUCAGGUUGCUAGUUGUAACAAUCAAUCUGGUAUUCAGUUUGAAUUGGCUUUCAGUAAGUGCAUUAAGUGUACACUAAGUUUGUCUUCUGUAUUUAUGUCACCAAACACCAAUCACGUUAGAAAUUAAUUAUGAUCUAUUACAUACGCGCAUGACACAGGUCGUUAUUUAUCAUUCUUCUCUCUGUUUUCUUUGACGUGUAUAUUUUACAUACUACAUAUGUACGUCUUAUAACGUUACUGUGUUUAAAUCUUUUAGAAGCAUUAUGAAACUUCAUUUUAGUAUUGAGUUCCGAUUCGCCUUCUUAGAGGACCAUUACAUUGUCUGCUGUGAAAACAAAUUAUGAAAAGGGGAUACGUAUACUUUACUUUUCAAACCAUAUAUUUAGUGUAUAGUUCGGUUAAUUGUACAACAUUAGGCCAGUAUUAAUCAUUUUUUUCUAAAUGUACUUGAUUGCGCAUGUGAGUAACAUAACUUUUUGGGGGAUCAAUUAUAUGAAGUGAAAAAAACAAAAAGGAAAUGAUAAGACCCUUUUUGGAGUCAAUAAUAUUAAACAGAUAAUGUUUAUCUUUCUUUUUUUUGUAGAUAACAGAUAUCAAAAGUCGAGCAUUGAUAGCUACGGUGACAUUACCACUUACAAAAGAUGGAAAAGUUAUGUAUACUAUAACAUGUAAGUAUAUUUAAACUUUUCCAAUACAAAUCAAAAUAUGAGGUAAAUCAUCAGACAAUUAUCAUGGCGUCACAACAAACAAAACUUAUAAAAUUGCAGUACGACAAAUAAGGCAUUGUUGUACAAUAACAUAAAUAAUACGACAUUAUUUAAAAAAAAGAAAUCUUAUACUUACUCAUAACAAAACACAGUAUCGCAUAAAUCAUUGAUUUUCCCCAUAUUAAAACACUGUUACCGAAUUGAAGUUUUUUAUUGUUUUUAUAUAGCAGUGUUUAAGAUGUUAAACACCAGUGGUCCUACCCGAACUUACAUACAGGCUGUAAUUUAGCAGUUGUUAAAAUGUACUAGAUAAACAAAAUGGGUCUUUCUUGGAUAGUUUUUAACACUUAAGAAAAUCGAUCCAGACAAUCGUGACUACCAAAUGUUAAAUUAGAACAUAAAAAGUGCUGACGAAUGAACAAACAUUCAGAAUUAUUGAUAUCGGGUACUAUGCAUUAGUCUUAUGUGACCUUUUAAUUUUUGUGCAACAGUGAACUAUAAAAAUAAGAAGAUAUGCCUAAUAUUGCUUAUGAAACAACUCUCUACCAGGGACCAAAUGACAAACUACAAGUAACAAGAUAGACCAUUUGCAUAAUGUAUAUAAUGAAUGCUAUGCAUAUACAUCUGAUUCACAAACAACACACACUCACUCUCAAAUUAUAUAAUGCACCUUUAACAGCAAAAGUUGUCAUUGAAAAGUGUUUUUUUGUUUUAAUUUUAGAUGCAUUUCUAAAACUGUGACACCAUUUAUUACGUCAUUGUAAACUGGUAAUUUCAAUUUUGUGAAAAUUAGUCUUGUGUCUAUAAAGACAUCCUUACCAAAACCAACCAAACUAGAAACAGUGACAAAAGGGUAAAUAAAAAAGAAAAUAAAGCGACUGUAAAUAGACUAUUUCCAUGACUGAUCAAAUAUGCAAAAAAAAAGUAACUAUGCUUCACUCCUCAAAAAAAAAGUCCAGCAUCCAGUAUCCAGGUUCACGGUUAUGAAUCAGUAUAUCAUAUAUCAUUUUGCAAUCAAUUGAAGUUUAAACCAACAAAUUAAGUCACUGAUUACAACACAUUCAGAACGGACAAAAUUUUAGCAUACUCUCACAACCUUAUGUUUUUUUUAUGUGCGACUUGGUGAACAAAGCUGUAGCAGUAAUAUCACAUCCGCAUAUUUUAUAUUUUGAUAUAAAGUAAGUUAGACGAUGGUAUUUCUAUUAUAAUGUGCCAGAUCAGGGUUAUACAUAUUUUCCCUAGCUAUUAUAUACAAGAGGGACGAAAGAUACCAAAGGGACAGUCAAACUCAUAAAUCUAAAAUAAACUGACAACGCCAUGGCUAAAAAUGAAGAAGAAAAACAGACAAACAAUGGUACAAAUGACUCAUAAAAUGGUCUGCUGAAUCUUGAAAUGCGUAAAGUUUUUUUUGUAAUAAAUCUUAGUAUCGUUUAAAUAUUGUCGUUGUGAAUGUUCUUGCAAUAUUGGCUAAUGGACCUUAGUCAUCUGUUUCAAUCAGUGUUUGAUUUCCAACCUUUUAAAGGUUAAACUAAUAUAGACUAUGCACAGUAAUUUUGAAGACUGUAUCAAAAUGAAAAACGAAAAACGGAAACGCUUCUGUUUUUCGUUUUAAGUUUAUGAAAAAAAAUAUGUUUUCUUGUUUUUCGGUUUUUGUUUUUUCAAUAUAAGAUUGAAGAAUAUGUGCUGUCAUGACAUAUCAUGUCAACAUAAAAAAGAAAUUGUGUAAGCUUUACGUUGAAAAGUUAACAAUUUACAUUAUUCAAUUUGUUUGUACAUAAUGAUCUGUCUUGAUAACAAAUUCAUAACAAUGUUGACAUUUUUUUUAGACGUUAAGAAGAUUCCAGUGGUGAACAAGCUUCAAAUAGUAUAUGCAGUUCUAUCAUACCCUCACCAA
rnacentral:lncRNA from 1 species